AUUGAACGCUGGCGGCAUGCCUUACACAUGCAAGUCGAACGGCAGCAUGAUCUAGCUUGCUAGAUUGAUGGCGAGUGGCGAACGGGUGAGUAAUACAUCGGAACGUGCCCUGUAGUGGGGGAUAACUAGUCGAAAGAUUAGCUAAUACCGCAUACGACCUGAGGGUGAAAGUGGGGGACCGCAAGGCCUCAUGCUAUAGGAGCGGCCGAUGUCUGAUUAGCUAGUUGGUGGGGUAAAGGCCCACCAAGGCGACGAUCAGUAGCUGGUCUGAGAGGACGAUCAGCCACACUGGGACUGAGACACGGCCCAGACUCCUACGGGAGGCAGCAGUGGGGAAUUUUGGACAAUGGGCGAAAGCCUGAUCCAGCAAUGCCGCGUGUGUGAAGAAGGCCUUCGGGUUGUAAAGCACUUUUGUCCGGAAAGAAAUGGCUCUGGUUAAUACCUGGGGUCGAUGACGGUACCGGAAGAAUAAGGACCGGCUAACUACGUGCCAGCAGCCGCGGUAAUACGUAGGGUCCAAGCGUUAAUCGGAAUUACUGGGCGUAAAGCGUGCGCAGGCGGUUGUGCAAGACCGAUGUGAAAUCCCCGAGCUUAACUUGGGAAUUGCAUUGGUGACUGCACGGCUAGAGUGUGUCAGAGGGGGGUAGAAUUCCACGUGUAGCAGUGAAAUGCGUAGAGAUGUGGAGGAAUACCGAUGGCGAAGGCAGCCCCCUGGGAUAACACUGACGCUCAUGCACGAAAGCGUGGGGAGCAGACAGGAUUAGAUACCCUGGUAGUCCACGCCCUAAACGAUGUCAACUAGUUGUUGGGGAUUCAUUCCCUUAGUAACGUAGCUAACGCGUGAAGUUGACCGCCUGGGGAGUACGGUCGCAAGAUUAAAACUCAAAGGAAUUGACGGGGACCCGCACAAGCGGUGGAUGAUGUGGAUUAAUUCGAUGCAACGCGAAAAACCUUACCUACCCUUGACAUGCCACUAACGAAGCAGAGAUGCAUUAGGUGCUCGAAAGAGAAAGUGGACACAGGUGCUGCAUGGCUGUCGUCAGCUCGUGUCGUGAGAUGUUGGGUUAAGUCCCGCAACGAGCGCAACCCUUGUCUCUAGUUGCUACGAAAGGGCACUCUAGAGAGACUGCCGGUGACAAACCGGAGGAAGGUGGGGAUGACGUCAAGUCCUCAUGGCCCUUAUGGGUAGGGCUUCACACGUCAUACAAUGGUGCAUACAGAGGGUUGCCAAGCCGCGAGGUGGAGCUAAUCCCAGAAAAUGCAUCGUAGUCCGGAUCGUAGUCUGCAACUCGACUACGUGAAGCUGGAAUCGCUAGUAAUCGCGGAUCAGCAUGCCGCGGUGAAUACGUUCCCGGGUCU
rnacentral:rRNA from 1 species